AUGUUCAAUCUUUUUUUAGCGGUUUCCCCAGAGAUCUUUAUCAUUAACGCAACCUUCAUUUUGCUCAUUUAUGGAGUUGUAUUUAGUACCUCUAAGAAAGAUGAUUAUCCACUGGUAGUUAGUAAUGUGGGUUGGCUUGGAUUACUUAGGAACCUUAGCAUGGGGGGACGUCCUAAUCCUUUUGCCACCACAAGGCCGGCUAAUCAUACGCAGCAAGAGCAAGGGAACUCCCCUGGUUCAGGAAGGCACAUGAGUCCGAAUGCUAUUAUGAAUGUGCGACCGACACUACACUAUGUAGGUACCUGUGCAUGCAGGAGGGACAAUAUUACAUAUUUCUGCCAAAUCCUUCUAUUAUUAAGUAUGGCUGGUACCAUUUCGAUGUGUUUCGAUUUUUUCGAAAAAGAGAGGUUUAAUGCUUCUGAAUUCAUUGUAUUAAUUCCACUUCCUACUCGCAGUAUGCUCUUAAUGAUCCUGGCUCAUGAUUUAAUUGCCAUGUAUUUAGCUAUUGAGCUUCAAAGUUUAUGUUUUUAUGUGAUCGCAGCAUCAAAAAGAAAGUCUGAAUUUUCCACGGAAGCCGGCUCAAAAUAUUUGAUCUUAGGUGCAUUUCCCUCUGGAAUAUUAUUGUUCGGGUACGACCGGACUACUACCGAUCAAUUUUUUGGAACUUAUUUAUAG
rnacentral:rRNA from 1 species